UGGAACUGGAUGAGCAUUGUGCUCCUUUGCAACCCAGGCCAUUCUAGGAUUCUAUGAUUAUAGAAAAGUUUUGAGAAAACAACCAUUGGUCCCUUUGCCCACUGACACUGAUAUUCUAUAGGCUUUGGUUUGUAUAGAUAGCCACUAACGGGAGAACAAACCAUCCUUCUGGGAGAGCAGGCUGAGCAUUUAGCAUUGGGCUAAAGAAGGAAAUUGGAAGGAAAUUCCUUCCUUAGAAGGAAACCGAUGCCAUCUAACAAGAAAUUGACAAGGGAUUGAGGCCACAGGUGGAUUUCAUGAUGAGCUGUGGGGAGAUGCCCAGCAGCACUGAGGUUUAAAAUUGAGCUUUAAUUGUGAUCCUUGUUUCUCUUCAGAUUUACUGUCACGUGCAAAGGAAUGUUUAACUUUUAUCGUUUAUUUACAUGGUCACAAACAGAAUGGCUGAGCCUAAGGAUGAGUUAAUGAUCACAACAGGAAAGGAUGUUUGCCCAAGGAAGGAAAUUAGUGCUAACAAGUUCAGAGAGCUCUUCAUCCUCCUGAUCAAAGAGUGAGCCGUGAACCAACAUCCUGCCUCCUGCUGUCUGCUGGUGCACCAAUGGGGAACAAAUGCUUCGGAGGGAUUUAAGAUGGACACACACUGACAAUUUCCCUUGUGAUUCCAAUCAGGAUUAAACUCACACCUGCCCAGAAGUGACCGCAGAGCGCAACCCUGGAUUGCUGUUAUUGCAGGGAGCCGCCAUUAAAACUGGGAGGACAUUUAUAUGAACCGAUGGGAGAAAUAUCUCCGAUCUUCUCCUCCAGCCGUGUGUUUUCUCAUCUCUUCGCUGUUUCCUUUGGCUCCGGGUUGUGCCGAUUGGAAGCGGUGUGAGCCUGUUUCCCUGCGCGCAAACUCCCUGCUCUCAUUCAUUCCUAUCCGCCGUUUCGCGUCUUCCACCGAGCCCGCGCACAUGACCACGCCCACUUAUCACAUGGACACGCCCACUUCAUAUGACCACGCCCAUCGCCACCUCAGCAGUGCCGGCGGGCACCACCAGGGGGCGCUAUAGCCCAGCGGCUG